rnacentral:lncRNA from 1 species
ACUAUUCACAAUAGCAAAGACAUGGAAUCAACCUAAAUGCCCAUCAAUAGUAGACCGGAUAAAGAAAAUGUGGUGCAUAUGUACCAUGGAAUACUAUGUGGCCAUAUAAAAGGAGAUCAUGUCCUUUGCAGGAACAUGAAUGGAGCUGGAGGCCAUUAUUCUUCACAAACUAACACAGGAACAGAAAACCAAAAACUGCAUGUUCUUACUUAUAAGUGGGAGCUAAAACAUUUUGUGGCCACUGAAAGUCAGAUUCAGGAAUGAUAUUAAUAGCACAGAAAAAUUUUCAUAAUAUACUAAUUGAAAAACAAGUUAUCAAAUCUAUAAUUAUAAUUCCCAUUCCAUAAAAAAUACACAUAGACUGUCAAGUAUAUGAAGAUGGAAGAGAAAACUGGAAAAACAUAUGCCAAAAUUUUAUAUCCGCUUCCUAGAAAUUAAAGGACUUUGGAGCACUUUCAAACUUUUCAUCUUCCUCUUGUCUUAUCCAAUAUUAUUUUUCUGUAUUUCCACUACCACAGUUAUAAAUUUUUUUUUUUUUACUCUUUGAUAUAUUGAUUUCCCUUCUUUUGAAUAUAUACUAGGCAGUGGGAUUGUUAGAUCUCAUGGUAGAUCUCAUUUAAGCUUUUUGAAAAACUUCCAUACUGUUCUCCAUAGUGGCUAUGCUAAUUUACAUUCCUAUCAACAGUGCACAGGUGUUUCCCUUUCUCCACAUCCUUGCCAACAUUUACUGCUUUUUGUCUUUUUGUUAAUAGCCAUUCUAACUGGGGUAAAAUAAUAUCUCACUGUGGUUUUGAUUUGUAUUUCCCUGAUGACAAGUGAUGUUGAGUGUUUUUUCAUAUACUGGUUGGUGAUUUGCAUGUCUUCUUUUGAGAAAAGUCUAUUCAGGUUAUUAUUUAUUUUUAAUCAGAUUAUGUGUUUGUUUUAUUAUUGAGUCAUUUGCAUUCCUUAUACGUUCUGGUUAUUAAUCUCCUGUCAGGUGGAUAGUUUGCAAAUGUUUUCUCUCCUUCUGUAGGUUGUCUCUUCACUUUAAUUGUUUUCUUUGCUGUGAAGAAGCUUUU